rnacentral:rRNA from 1 species
UACGUAGGGGGGCAAGCGUUGUCCGGAUUUAUUGGGCGUAAAGAGCGUGUAGGCGGCCAUGCAGGUCCGUUGUGAAAACUGGAGGCUUAACCUCCAGACGUCGAUGGAAACCGUAUGGCUAGAGUCCGGAAGAGGAGAGUGGAAUUCCUGGUGUAGCGGUGAAAUGCGCAGAUAUCAGGAAGAACACCCGUGGCGAAGGCGGCUCUCUGGGACGGUACUGACGCUGAGACGCGAAAAGCGUGGGGAGCGAACAGG